CUUCGGGGUGAGUGGCAGACGGGUGAGUAACGCGUGGGAACGUGCCCUUCAGUUCGGGAUAACCCAGGGAAACUUGGGCUAAUACCGGAUACGUGCGAGAGCAGAAAGAUUUAUCGCUGAAGGAUCGGCCCGCGUCUGAUUAGCUAGUUGGUAGGGUAAUGGCCUACCAAGGCGACGAUCAGUAGCUGGUCUGAGAGGAUGAUCAGCCACAUUGGGACUGAGACACGGCCCAAACUCCUACGGGAGGCAGCAGUGGGGAAUAUUGGACAAUGGGCGCAAGCCUGAUCCAGCCAUGCCGCGUGAGUGAUGAAGGCCUUAGGGUUGUAAAGCUCUUUCGUCCGGGACGAUAAUGACGGUACCGGAAGAAGAAGCCCCGGCUAACUUCGUGCCAGCAGCCGCGGUAAUACGAAGGGGGCUAGCGUUGUUCGGAAUCACUGGGCGGUAAAGGGCGCGUAGGCGGCUUUAUAAGUCGGGGGUGAAAGCCUGUGGCUCAACCACAGAAUUGCCUUCGAUACUGUAUGGCUUGAGACCGGAAGAGGUAAGUGGAACUGCGAGUGUAGAGGUGAAAUUCGUAGAUAUUCGCAAGAACACCAGUGGCGAAGGCGGCUUACUGGUCCGGUUCUGACGCUGAGGCGCGAAAGCGUGGGGAGCAAACAGGAUUAGAUACCCUGGUAGUCCACGCCGUAAACGAUGAA
rnacentral:rRNA from 1 species